ensembl:lncRNA
UUUUUUUUUAAUUACAACACAAUGAAACAAUGGUAAGUACAUAAGAUGCAAUAGUAUAAAAAGCCAUUUUAACCCUUCCCUUGGUUAAGACACAGCAGACAAGAACUGCCCCACCCCAAUUUGCCCCUUCUCAGAUGAAAAUGAAAAAUAAAUAUAAAUUAAUAAAUAUAAAACAAAUCACUGCACAGCCCUUAACUCUUUGAUUGCCAUGGCAAGAACCAUAAUGAUGAUUCUAGCAUGUGACUUUCUGUGGUUAAAGGUUGCCGCAGCAGUCAAAGGGUUAUAGCAUUGUAAACGUAAGUACUUUGUUGAAAAUGUUCAGUCAUGUUAAUGGUCUACAGCAACGAGAUUAUUAUCAUGACCCCUUGACCUUUAAUGACACAACAUUAUAAGGAGUUAAAAAGAUAAUAGCUUGGUGAGCUGUUACAUAGAUUAAUUAACCCAUUUCAUUUAACAAUGCACUAUGAGGUCUUGAUUUACUAAUAAAAGACAACUUGUGUGUAAUAAAACACUGUUCAAUGCAUUGAUCAAUAAAAUCAAUGAAAAAAAAUCAGUCUAAGCACCACAAAAUUUUGCCUGAUUAUAUCUGACAGUCAUAAUACACUUUAGCACCAUUUAGUCAGCCUUGCAUUUGCACACAAACAAGCUUUGUGUUUGUCAGUAGAAGCUACCUGAAGGAUAACAUAUGUCAGUUAUAAAAAGGCUACUGUAUAGAAUGCUGUGUGAGCCAAUAAAAUAAAAUAAAAAAAAUAACAAUAAAAAACCAAAAUUUAGUUGCAGAAAGCAAAUAAAUGCUCCAGUUAUCUUGUUACUAACACACACCCUAAAGAGCCAAACGCAGGCAUGAAAUGCAUAUGGGGCUAUGCAGAGAAAAGGGAAUGAGAAAUUUGCAUCAUAUAGAGAAAUCAUCACAUCCGUGUUCUGACUUAUUUGUCAGGCUUUGUAAAUUAAAUGAAUAGUUGUUGGGUGGUUCAAGAAGCAGAGCUUGAAAAGAGCUGAUGUUUAACAAUGUGUGAGUUUUAUGCUCACGUUAUGCAUAAAAACACUUUCACAGAUAACCUAACAACAACUGCACCAAUAUCCUUGUCUCUGCAUGAAGUAUCGAUUUCCUCUUUUUCAGAGGUGAAGCAUGAACAAACAAAUCACAGUGUGAAAGGAGUCAAAACUGUAGUAGCUUCCAGCUAACAUUGGAACUAGAACAAUUUCUGCUGGAAUUACAGGGAGAAAGGAAUGGCAACAAGAUGGAAAACAGAAUCAGCUGCUAAAAAACCAUCCAAAAAGCAGAACUAAACAAGAAAUCACGUUCUGGUAGAUACAAGAGUAUAGCACUUGGGAGAGAAAGCAAGGUGCAUGUCAUUCAGAAAGUAACAGAAACAAGAAUGUGUAUGAAGCAUGGAAAACAAUGUAUCUUUCUUGUACAUAUCCAUAUCAAACUCUGACUACUCACUGACAAAACCAGCUGUACACACUUUAACUGCUAACAGUACUAAUCACAGGACUGGCUAGGAGCAGACAUCACCUCCCUCAAUCAGCUUCUGAUCAUAUAGGAACACUUAUCACAUACAAUAAACCUACAGAAGUCAAACACUGCAUCUUCCUUUGCAAGUCGUGACUGAAUUGUGCAAUGAAUCCAAUUCCCAGACUACAGCAGCAGAUGUCAGAGAGUACUUCAUAAAUAUGUUAUUUAUGAUACCUAAAAAAUAGGAUCAAUCAGAAAACAAUACAUAAUAGCAAAGCAUUCUGCCAUGCAACAGUGCUAGCUUAUUAUGCUACAGCAGUAAUGUAAUGGUAGCUGAUGUAGGAGUAUGAACUGACUUGUGGUAGAGGAAGGAAUCCAGACGUAUAAUUAUUGUCUGAAUAUCCAUGGCACAGAUCAUAGGCACCAGAAUGCAAAGGAGAAAUUGAGACUGUUUAAGAUGAGAAUUAGAACCACUGGAAAUAAUACAAACAUUUUUGAAAUGCGACUUUCUAGACUGCUCACCUCUCACAGAUGGCAUAAACCAUGCAUGCAAACAGCAUGCAAUGGCUCGCAUCAAAAAUGAUAGGUCUGUGCUGUUAUACUGUUGUACAUGUGACCACACAAGUAGACACAAGAUGCAAAUAAGGAGCCCAUGAUGGUCAGUGAGGGCUGUACUAUGUCAUUUUCAUAAAAGACUUAAAGGACAGCAGUGUAAAUGGAUGGCAGAGACUUCAAUGAUCUGGAGCGAGUAGUUUGGAGCUCAGUGUUGAAGAACUGGACAAUGAAGAAGAUUUAGUGAAAGACAUAUAGUAAGUUCCUCAAAUGUUCACAGGAGUUUCUGAGAAGGUACCACUUCUUCACCAUAGACACAAAAACCUGCAGACUGUAAAACAUUACGUGUGUGAUUGAGAUAGACAACAAAACUGUAUUUUCUUCUUUUCUCUGUAUUGCGAACAGAUAAUUUCUUACUUGUCCACCAAAAGCAUAUAAAAUUUAAUAUUGCCUUAUUUAUUCAGGAAAUGUGCCAGGGCACAGUGAAAAAAGAGGGUGGAGGAGAAUCAAAAGUUUGAUUGUAUGUAUCAGUUUACAUAAAGAAAUAGCAAUAGAUGAUCCAUCCAAAGGUCAUAAAAGUAUUUCUAUUACAUCAAACCCUUCAGGACUGAGAUAUCAUGGAGAUACUGACACAUGGCCAUAAUAUAGACUAAUAGAGGUAAAGGCUUCUUUGUCCUUCAGUAUUUCAUCCAGUGGAGUUCUUCAAAUUAUAGAUAACUUUUUGGUUCUAAUUUCUGAAAUCAAACGUAAGAACAUUUCACUGUGGCAAGUUUUUGCACAUAUCAGGCUGAUGUUAGUUUGACUAAAUCUCUCUCAAAAGAUUUUUGAAUGCAGCAGAUAAAUAAUGCACUUUACGUAUUUGUAGUCAGGUUCAGAGUAACUGUCCGAGGAGCUUUUUGACUGACUGCUCUCUGGUGUGUUAUGACAACAGACGUAGAUUUCAGUGGACUUCCUAUGGCCUAACAGGUAUCUUUGCUGUUGGAGACCUGUAACACUUGCUAAGUUAUGACCAACUUCUUGAUAAUAUCUCUUCUCUUUUAUUGCUGAUUGAUUACAUAGCAGUUACAUGCAAUUCUAGUGGUGUCAGUGGUCCUUGACUCCUUCCCUUUCUGAGAAACUGGGUUUGUACUUGUAAUUAUAAAUAAAAAUGUUUUCAUUCCUUUUCUUAUAUCCUUCAGGAAAUGAAAAAUGGAAAUGUGCUCAUGCUGCUUUUUCUGUGCCUGUGUGCAAUCUUUGACCAAAAGAUCUAGUUUGCUUUCCUGUGGAUCCUAGAAAUUGUGGAAAGAAAGUUUAUGACUAAUUAAGUUUCCUCUGAGAAAGAUUUCAGUAGGAUAUUCCUUUAAAUCUGUAUUUGUCAUAGUUGUGAAAAGCUGUGAUCCAAGAGCUACCACCUUCAAAGGAAUGCAUAUUGCUAGCAGAUAAUGAACUGUGCAUCUUGGAUGAUGAUAAGGAAGGAUCAUAAUCCUUGAUCUAUUCUAUCAAAUGGUUUUCGACCAGACACAGUAAGACAGUACUGUGCAUGAACUGACAAGAGAUUUCGGUUUUAGAAACAUAGUAAAGAUAGAUGUUAGGCAUACAGCUUAGCUGACAAUGUUUUACCAACUGUGUUAUAUAGAGUAAAAAGAUGAUUUGCGUUAUCACACAUCCCUUUAAUUCUAGAUUCCUGUUCAAGAUAAAAUUUUCUUGGGUAUAAUCACCUCAGGUAUUUCUGUGAGCUGUAUGAAUUUUGACAAUGGCUAUCCUGAAAGACUUUUUAAUAGUUUUCAUGUACCUCGCGACACAUGGCCAGAGUUCAUAGCAUUUUAUCAUAUGAGGUAAAACACAACCAUGUAAAUACAAGCCACAGCUGUGCCCUGCAGGUAUGAAUUGUAGUCGUCAUGAUCAUUUAAAACAUCGUUUAAAACAGCGCUGUAGGUUGCUGAUGAUGUCUUCUGAAUACACCACAUGUACCAUUUCCUAAGCGAUAUAACUCUACUUAUAUCCAAAGAAACAAACUGCUUGGAACUGACUCAAACAUGGUUACUUCCAUAAGAUAUGAUCACUAUGUGAGCACUGACAAUUUUGUAGCAAUAGCCAAGCAUACAACAAGCAUACAUGGUAUGCGCAUCUUUGUUUAAAUUAAUUGUAUGCCUAAAUAUGGGGCUGUGCGUUUCAACUGGAAUAUAUCAGUUGUACAUUAGUACUUUUGGAACUAUAUAUAAUAUCAUGUAAUUAUGAACACUGAGAAAAAUUAUUACAAAUUAUCAUUUUACAUUAUGGAAAAAAAUACUUUCUUUGAGGAUGCAAAAUGAUAGUAAGUAAAUCAAAAUUUGUUCAUACCUUAUAAAUGAGUUAACACUGAUUACCUGCUGGGCCUAAGCACUCUCACCUUCCAAAAGGCAGAUGCUUUUACGUACAGCCAUGUAAGCUACGGAUAUGUGUGUAGACUGGGUGUUAAACUGUGCCAACACAUCAGGAUGGAAAUAUGGAUUAGAAACAUCAUUUUCUGAUUUAACACACUACUUUUUGCAAGUGGUGAGCCCAUCUGGUGGAGCUACACUGUUCUGUUGCCUGUAAGUAAUAUAAUACUUCACUGAAAACUCUUCAAAUUGUUAAAGGCUAACCAGGUCCUUUAGGAAGUUAUUUUAUCCCAGCUUCCCAGAAAGCCAGUUCCCCAAAUGAUGGAUGGGCAAAGGGAUGAACCAGGACACAUGUAUGCACACAAUGAAAGUGAUUAUUCCAUGUGUUAGUACCAGAUGGCAAGAUGGGGAGAAUGUUCAGUAUAUAUUUUACUGCAACAACAUGGGCGUGAAAGGCUAUGAAUUAAGAUAUGCCUAUAGCUCGCCAAGGAGAUUAAGGUUGUAGUUAUAAAAAGCAUGUGAUGCAAUUUCAUAGGGUAGAAAUUACUAUUAACUAAAUAGAAAGCUUUGGCUUACAUGGUGGUUAUAACUAUCAUCUGUGAACAAUGUCAUUCUACAGAAGCAGAAGAAACUGAGCUGUGGGACUGGAAAGCUUUGUGCCAUCAUAAAUGGCUGGAAAGUGUAAUGACCAUUGUUUAUGUAGUUUUACUAUGACAGCACAUAGCACUGUGCUGCAUGCAUAUCCAAGUGUAGAAAAUUGUCUUUAGCAUGCUAGUUUACAUCAGCAUUUCUUCAUUUACGUCUUCUCUGCCUCUAAAAUUUAUUUCAUCUAUACUGUGGGCAGUACUUAAGGCUGUUUAUAUAGGGCAAAUGUACUUUAUGUACACCUCACAGAAUGCCAUAUCUCAAAGACAUAAUGGGCAGCUGCAACUGCAAACGUUAAUAAACUGACUAUAAUUUGUAGAUGAUAUGCUAAACCUUAUGUGCACUGGGAAACAAGACCUGUUUAAGAUGCAUGUGUUUAAUGCUGCCUACAUACUACUUAGAAAUACAUUUUGAUUUUAGGAACAGAUGCUUGCAGUGGUCACAUACUGAUGACCCUUCAAAAUAUGACCUCCUGAUUAGGGCUUUCCUAGUUACAUACACACAUCAAAUAAUGUCACAUCAUACAGAAUUUAUGUUGCCUAACAUUAGAUCAAGCAUCAAAUGGAACCAGUCUGCAGCAAGUUAUUGUAUGCUUUUGAUGCUUACCAGACAUUUUCAGCAUUGAUGGCACUGAUGACAAUGUCUUUUUCUAUCAGCCUCUGUCAUCUCAGAUAGCAAAUCACAAGAAUGGGUUGGACAGAUUUGACUCACACAUUCCAUUUUUCAUGAGACCAGUGACAGAUAAUUCAUUGAUUUACAUGCAUAAAUCAAACAUCAAUUUUAUGAGUAUAUGGUUCAUUUACACCUGAUUUUGUAACUGACAUAUGUUUAAAUGGUCUUGUCCUAUGUGAACCACUGUUUAUCUGCAGUCUGUGUAGUGUAAGCUAAGGAAGUACGCCUAACAUUGCAGUGCUGGUGAAUCAGUUGCGGCUUACCAUCGUAUUCAAUUACAGGUUAUCUGUUCCUUAGUUCCCACACAGUAUUGUUUGAUUUACAGCAUAGGUGAACACCUAAGUGGCCAGUGACAUUUGUUCCCUCUACUGGUAAUAAUAAUUUUCCUUAUGGCUCAUAGGGCUGCAGUCACCUAUUUAUACUUCUGGAAAUAGAGCUGUCCAAAGACAAUCUUGACAACAACAAGAGGUGACAAGAGAGCUAUUGCUCUGUAACGGCUGCUUCACAUCUCCUACUGCCACGGUGCACGGCUUCACCUAUGUAACUGGUAAGACGAUUUAGGCCGUGUUGUGAGAAGAUAAGGGAGCCAGGAUAGAGCAAGACCAUGAAGUCAUAUCCUUGCUCCUCAGCCCAGUGAUCUUGUGCUAUCUCAAAUUUAGGCUGCUAAUGGUGCGGUAGCUUGCAUUUCUACCUUCUUGAAAAUGCAGUGCCUGGAACAUUCACUCCUCAGUUUGCUAUGUGUCUUUUUUAAGGUUUGCCUUAGCUAUGGUUCAAAUGAAAAAAAAAACUAGAAUAGGAAUGUAAUUCUUCCAUUGUUUAUAGGCAGACCUACUUUCUAUUCUAUGCACUUUUUUCUAACCAACAAGCUAGAAUUUUAUUCUAUAUAAUUUGGUACCAAAAGCUACAUUUAACUGACACUAAGAUUGUGAAGUAAGACCCCAAAAAGAGUUGAAAGUUCAAUAAUUAAGCCUUACACUCUGUUCUUAGCCCACAGUGCUAACGGUGCAGAAGUCUUGACCAAGCAACUGGGUAGGUGAAGUACACCUCUAAGAAAAAGUUUAAGUCUGUCCCUUAUGUUUGAAUCUAUUAGCUUCUGUAAUUUUCAUUCACAAAAUUAGCCUUAAACAUUUUCUUUCUUUAAUUAUCCCAUCCCUUUGCCCCACCUUGAAAGAAGAAAAAGAACAAAAGUUCAUAGGAAUAUAUAAAAUAUGUAUUACAUUUAUUCAGGAGACUUGAAAGGGCUCCUUUGGAGCCAUUUGAGUCUCUCUAUCCCAGCCUAUCCAGCAAAUAUACAGUCACAUAGUUUUUAAUUUUUUUUUUUUUUUAUAAAAAUUAAUUUUUGUCUAGUCAAUAACCUUUUCAUUACAUUAAAAGGCCAGAGGAAACACUGCCAUCAUCUACUUUGGCCUCCUGCAUCAUACAGACCAUAUAGUACUCUGAAAAUACACGACCCUGUAUAGUCAGCUUGAUAGACUGUAACUGAUUAACGCAAUACAUAUUCAGUUUUGUAUUGUUCCACAGUUGAGAUCAUGACAAUAGCAAUAUGGAAAUGUUUAUUAAAAACUUUACGAAAAAGGUUACGGCACAUGAGCAGGAACCCAGAUUGCAGAACUGAAAAUAAUUUCAAUUUGUUUUUUCUUAACUCUCAUAAUUAUAGGCCCUGGUAGAAAAACAACUGUUCUAAAAAUAACAUUGUCGUAGAACUUUUACUCAUUUGAGUUCAAAACUAGAUCAGACAACAUCACUAAUUUACUCUGAAGUUAUUUGAAACUAGCCAGUAUGUAUUUGGGAAUUACAGUGAAAACAGUUGCUCCUACAUCUUUUACUUAAAGCAAACCUUUAUGACUCUGUUAUAGCC